rnacentral:misc_RNA from 1 species
UGGGUUUGACAUGCACUAGACGCGUCUAGAGAUAGGCGUUCCCUUGUGGCUGGUGUGCAGGUGGUGCAUGGCUGUCGUCAGCUCGUGUCGUGAGAUGUUGGGUUAAGUCCCGCAACGAGCGCAACCCUCGUUCCAUGUUGCCAGCGGGUUAUGCCGGGGACUCAUGGGAGACUGCCGGGGUCAACUCGGAGGAAGGUGGGGAUGACGUUUACGUGCACUU